rnacentral:rRNA from 1 species
AGUGAACGCUGGCGGUAGGCCUAACACAUGCAAGUCGAACGGCAGCACAGUAAGUGCUUGCUCUUACGGGUGGCGAGUGGCGGACGGGUGAGGAAUACAUCGGACUCUACUUUUUCGUGGGGGAUAACGUAGGGAAACUUACGCUCAUAUCGCAUCCGACCUACGGUUGUAAGCAGGGGAUCUUCGGGCCUUGCGCGAUUGAAUGAGCCGCUGCGGGAUUUGAUGGUUGGCGGGGUAAAGGCCUACCCAGGCGACGAUCCGCAGCCGGUCUGAGAGGAGGGUCGGCGGCACGGGAGGUGAGACAGCGUCCAGGGGCCUGAGGGAGGCAGCAGUGGGGAAUAUUGGACAAUGGGCGGAAGCCUGGUCCAGCCAUACCGCGUGUGUGGAGAAGGCCUUCGGGUUGGAAAGCCGGUUUGUUGGGAAAGAAAAGCAGCAGGUUAAGACCACGCUGUUCUGACGGUACCCAAAGAAUAAGCACCGGCUAACUUCGUG